AUGGCAAUGAUGAGAAGUACGCGGGAUCUGCUGAUGGAGGGUUUCGAGGGGCUCGUGCGGGACGGGUCUUUCAAGUGGCCCGUCCCCCGCCGCGGCGUGGACGACGACGACGACCCCUACCGCUCGCCCUCGGCCUGCAAGAGCACGUCCGUUGCCGGCCUCUCCCCCAUGGUCAGCGCCGUCGUCUCUCGCUGCUCCCGAGUUCUCGACGUAUCCAUUGAAGACCUGCAAUAUGACUUUGAUAUGCAAGCAUCUGACUCUAUAAAGCAUCCAAGAAACUAUGCGAGAAACUUUUUGGAAUAUUGUUGCUUUAGGGCACUUGCACAGGUCUCACAAGUUGCGGGAUAUCUUGCUGACAAAAGCCUUCGUCGCCUGACAUUUGAUAUGAUGUUAGCUUGGGAAGUUCCCUCUUCUUCAAGCCAGCUCACUGUUAAGGUUGAGGUUGAAAGCACAGUUAGUUUGGAGGCUUUCUCAAGAAUAGCACCUGCCAUUCCAACAAUCGCUGAUGUAGUAACUUCUUCAAAUCUCUUUGAUGUGCUUUCAUCAACAAGUGGAGGCCGUCUUCCAUUUCCUGUAUAUGAUAAGUAUCUUGCAGGAUUGGACAGAGCAUUUAAGAAAAUGAAGACACAGUCUGAGUCAUCGCUUCUAUCGGGCUUCCGAUCACAGAGAGGAGAAAGGGUUCUAGAAGUCGAUGGAACAUUGACAACUCAACCAGUACUUGAGCAUGUUGGGAUUUCAACAUGGCCAGGAAGAUUGACACUUACGGAUCAUGCCCUUUACUUUGAAGCUGUAAAGGUUGUGACAUUUGAUAAGCCCAAAUCUUAUGAACUUGCAGAAGAUGCAAAGCAGAUUGUUAAACCUGAGCUGACUGGCCCAUGGGGUUCACGGCUGUUUGACAAAGCUGUUAUGUAUAAAUCAACAACCUUAGCUGAACCAGUGAUCAUAGAAUUUCCAGAGCUGGCCGGGCACUCUCGCCGUGAUUACUGGUUGGCAAUUAUAUCUGAAGUUCUUUAUGUUCACAGGUUUGUUAGGAAGUUCGACAUAAGUGGAGUCGAUAAAGAGGAAAUAAUUCUGAAGGCCUCGCUUGGUAUCUUGCGGUUGCAAGCCAUCGAAGAAUUAGCUUUUCCAGCUUCCAAUCGAUACGAAUCUCUUUUGUUGUUCAAUCUUUGUGACAAACUGCCUGGAGGAGAUGUAAUACUUGAAACACUAGCCAGUACUAUAUCAUCAAGAAGUUCAGCUCAUGCCAAUCAACCAGGCAUGAGCAUUGGAAUGCGUUCCAUGUCUGCCUUCGCUGUCCUGUCAAACCUGGGCAUGGUAUCACCAGGUAAUAAUAGUGAGAGACUCUUUGUUGGUGAGAUAGUCGUUGGGGAAAUGAGUUCCUUGCAGAAGGCAGUUACUGAGUCAAUGAACAACUACAAGAAAGUUGAACUGGCCCAAGCCACAGUUGAUGGAGUCAAAGUUGAUGGGCUUGAUACAAACCUGGUAGUGAUGAAGGAAUUGUUAUCACCGGUAAGUGACGUUUGGAGGUUUUUGGUGUCGUUGGCAUUGUGGGACGAGCCUUUGAAGUCAUUCGUCUUUUGCUUGUUAUCUUCUUCUAUUAUCAUAAGGGGAUGGGUAGUCUAUUUUCUUGUUAUGGUCAUACUGUUAUCAGCAACGGUCAUGCUGCUGACAAGACUAACUAGUCAAGGAAAGCCAAUGACUGAGGUCAAGGUGACAUCUCCACCUUCAAUGAACACUAUGGAGCAGCUCUUAGCUGUUCAAAAUGCUAUUUCCAAAGUUGAAGAGCUUGUCCAGGAUGCAAAUAUUGUUCUUCUGAAGAUAAGAGCUCUACUGCUGGCUUUUCCAUCUCAGGCCACAGACAAAGCUAUCCUUGCGUUGUUAUUGAUGGCUCUUGUCCUUGCCUUGCUGCCCACAAGAUUGCUUAUCCUGGCGAUGUUUCUGGAGGUGUUCACCAACCACUCUCCGCUAAGAAGAGCAAGCACAGAGAGAUGCACCAGAAGGUUGAGAGAGUGGUGGUUCAGCAUACCUGCAGCGCCAGUAGUGGUGGAGAAGGAUAACAAAGAAGAUAAGAAGACAAAAUGA
rnacentral:rRNA from 1 species